AGUGAACGCUGGCGGUAGGCCUAACACAUGCAAGUCGAACGGCAGCACAGUAAGAGCUUGCUCUUACGGGUGGCGAGUGGCGGACGGGUGAGGAAUACAUCGGAAUCUACUUUUUCGUGGGGGAUAAGGUAGGGAAACUUACGCUAAUACCGCAUACGACCUACGGGUGAAAGCAGGGGAUCUUCGGACUUUGCGCGAGUGAAUGAGCCGAUGUCGGAUUAGCUAGUUGGCGGGGUAAAGGCCCACCAAGGCGACGAUCCGUAGCUGGUCUGAGAGGAUGAUAAGCCACACUGGAACUGAGACACGGUCCAGACUCCUACGGUAGGCAGCGGUGGGGAAUUUUGGACAAUGGGCGCAAGCCUGAUCCAGCCAUACCGCGUGGGUGAAGAAGGCCUUCGGGUUGUAAAGCCCUUUUGUUGGGAAAGAAAAGCAGCAGGUUAAUACCCCGCUGUUCUGACGGUACCCAAAGAAUAAGCACCGGCUAACUUCGUG
rnacentral:rRNA from 1 species